rnacentral:ncRNA from 1 species
GUAUUCUAUGGGGUGCAAACUUUAAAUGCAACUUAAGUACUAAUUUAUUUUAUCAGACCCUUAUGUAAAUCAUGCAUUACCGCUAGCCAACAUGAAUAUUACAUA